UACGGGGGGGGCAAGCGUUGUUCGGAAUUACUGGGCGUAAAGGGUUCGUAGGUGGCCAAGUAAGUCAGACGUGAAAUCCCUCAGCUUAACUGGGGAACUGCGUCUGAUACUGGUUGGCUUGAGUGCAGGAGAGGAAUGCGGAAUUCCAGGUGUAGCGGUGAAAUGCGUAGAUAUCUGGAGGAACACCGGUGGCGAAGGCGGCGUUCUGGACUGCAACUGACACUGAGGAACGAAAGCCAGGGGAGCAAACGGG
rnacentral:rRNA from 1 species